UCUUACACAGUUACACAUGAAUGAAGUUGUUACUAGGUUCCUUCUCUGCAAUCUUGCAUCCAAAAUGCGAUAUUGUAGCACCAUAGAAAAGAGACUGUUAUGUGAGAUCCAACAAUGUACAUAGCCUCUACCUAAUUACAUCCUUAUACUUAAGCCAUUCGUAAUAACCUUCCUUCCAUGGCCCCCUAAAGGAUUGAAAUAAAGUAUAUGCAGAAAAGGACGUAUGGCUGGGUUGAAAGCAUGGGUUUGAGGACUUGGUCCUCUUCAUCUGGUUUGAUUAGUAAUAUGCAAGUGAAGUGAACUCUAGUGUAUCUUCAUGGAGAUGCCAGCACCCAAGUGAGAACUGGUUAUGUUUGUGCUGUAAGGAAGUCCUCUGCAGCCGUUUUGUAAACAAGCAUAUGCUGCAGCAUUAUCAGCAGAUAAAUCAUUGUGUUGCUCUUAGCUACAGGCAGUGAUCCUGUUGUGAUUGUAAAUUAUUGAUGAAGCAAGAUGAGCUAGAAGUUGAAAGAAAGUUGAGAAAGCUUUGGCUGAUCUUUGUUUUUUAACAACCUUUGGUUGGUCUUAGAAUUGUGAUUGUUGGUUGGUUAUAGAUGAUGGGUUUCAUAAUAUUUUUCAAUUUAUGAUAUUUGCUGCA